rnacentral:rRNA from 1 species
AUACGGAGGGGGCUAGCGUUGUUCGGAAUUACUGGGCGUAAAGCGCACGUAGGCGGCUUUGUAAGUCAGAGGUGAAAGCCUGGAGCUCAACUCCAGAACUGCCUUUGAGACUGCAUCGCUUGAAUCCAGGAGAGGUCAGUGGAAUUCCGAGUGUAGAGGUGAAAUUCGUAGAUAUUCGGAAGAACACCAGUGGCGAAGGCGGCUGACUGGACUGGUAUUGACGCUGAGGUGCGAAAGCGUGGGGAGCAAACAGGAUUAGAAACCCCAGUAGUCC